UACGUAGGCAGCAAGCGUUGUUCGGAGUUACUGGGCGUAAAGGGUGCGUAGGCGGCUUUUAAGUUUGGUGUGAAAUCUCCCGGCUCAACUGGGAGGGUGCGCCGAAUACUGAGAAGCUAGAGUGUGGGAGAGGAAAGUGGAAUUCCUGGUGUAGCGGUGAAAUGCGUAGAUAUCAGGAGGAACACCGGUGGUGUAAACGGCUUUCUGGACCAUAACUGACGCUGAGGCACGAAAGCAUGGGUAGCAAACAGG
rnacentral:rRNA from 1 species